rnacentral:rRNA from 1 species
UAGCUAAUACCGCAUAAUGUCGCAAGACCAAAGAGGGGGACCUUCGGGCCUCUUGCCAUCGGAUGUGCCCAGAUGGGAUUAGCUUGUUGGUGGGGUAACGGCUCACCAAGGCGACGAUCCCUAGCUGGUCUGAGAGGAUGACCAGCCACACUGGAACUGAGACACGGUCCAGACUCCUACGGGAGGCAGCAGUGGGGAAUAUUGCACAAUGGGCGCAAGCCUGAUGCAGCCAUGCCGCGUGUAUGAAGAAGGCCUUCGGGUUGUAAAGUACUUUCAGCGGGGAGGAAGGGAGUAAAGUUAAUACCUUUGCUCAUUGACGUUACCCGCAGAAGAAGCACCGGCUAACUCCGUGCCAGCAGCCGCGGUAAUACGGAGGGUGCAAGCGUUAAUCGGAAUUACUGGGCGUAAAGCGCACGCAGGCGGUUUGUUAAGUCAGAUGUGAAUCCCCGGGCUCAACCUGGGAACUGCAUCUGAUACUGGCAAGCUUGAGUCUCGUAGAGGGGGGUAGAAUUCCAGGUGUAGCGGUGAAAUGCGUAGAGAUCUGGAGGAAUACC